rnacentral:rRNA from 1 species
GAUGAACGCUGGCGGCGUGCCUAAUACAUGCAAGUCGAGCGAAUGACGAGGAGCUUGCUCCUCUGAUUUAGCGGCGGACGGGUGAGUAACACGUGGGUAACCUGCCUGUAAGAUGGGGAUAACUCCGGGAAACCGGGGCUAAUACCGAAUAAUAAAAGAGGAAGCAUUUCCUCUUUUUGAAAGUUGGUUUCGGCUAACACUUACAGAUGGGCCCGCGGCGCAUUAGCUAGUUGGUGAGGUAACGGCUCACCAAGGCGACGAUGCGUAGCCGACCUGGGAGGGUGAUCGGCCACACUGGGACUGAGACACGGCCCAGACUCCUACGGGAGGCAGCAGUAGGGAAUCUUCGGCAAUGGGCGAAAGCCUGACCGAGCAACGCCGCGUGAGCGAGGAAGGCCUUCGGGUCGUAAAGCUCUGUUGUCAGGGAAGAACAAGUACGAGAGUAACUGCUCGUACCUUGACGGUACCUGACCAGAAAGCCACGGCUAACUACGUGCCAGCCGCCGCCGUAA